rnacentral:rRNA from 1 species
UGCUUUACACAUGCAAGUCGAACGGCAGCACGGGAGCUUGCUCCUGGUGGCGAGUGGCGAACGGGUGAGUAAUAUAUCGGAACGUACCCAGACGUGGGGGAUAACUAGUCGAAAGACUAGCUAAUACCGCAUACGUCCUGAGGGAGAAAGCGGGGGAUCGCAAGACCUCGCGCGUUUGGAGCGGCCGAUAUCUGAUUAGCUAGAUGGUGGGGUAAAGGCCCACCAUGGCGACGAUCAGUAGCUGGUCUGAGAGGAUGAUCAGCCACACUGGAACUGAGACACGGUCCAGACUCCUACGGGAGGCAGCAGUGGGGAAUUUUGGACAAUGGGGGAAACCCUGAUCCAGCCAUUCCGCGUGAGUGAAGAAGGCCUUCGGGUUGUAAAGCUC